rnacentral:rRNA from 1 species
UAAUACGUAGGGUGCGAGCGUUGUCCGGAAUUAUUGGGCGUAAAGAGCUUGUAGGCGGUUUGUCGCGUCUGCUGUGAAAAUCCGGGGCUCAACCCCGGACUUGCAGUGGGUACGGGCAGACUAGAGUGUGGUAGGGGAGACUGGAAUUCCUGGUGUAGCGGUGAAAUGCGCAGAUAUCAGGAGGAACACCGAUGGCGAAGGCAGGUCUCUGGGCCAUAACUGACGCUGAGAAGCGAAAGCAUGGGGAGCGAACAGG